rnacentral:rRNA from 1 species
CCGGGGUACAUCUGAUGGCGACCGGCGCACGGGUGAGUAACACGUAUGGAACCUGCCCGCCACAGGGGGAUAACCCGGGGAAACCCGGCCUAAUACCCCAUGCCGCCCGGACCGGGCAUCCGGACCGGGCGAAAGGAGGAAUCCGGUGGCGGCUGGGCAUGCGGCGCAUUAGCUUGACGGCGGGGUAACGGCCCACCGUGGCGACGAUGCGUAGGGGUUCUGAGAGGAAGGCCCCCCACACUGGAGCUGAGACACGGUCCAGACUCCUACGGAAGGCAGCAG